rnacentral:lncRNA from 1 species
CUUUCUUUCUUUCUUUCUUUUUAGGGCUGGAUCCGUGGCAUAUGGAAGUUCCCAGGCUAGGGGUCUAAUUGGAGCUGUAGCUGCCAGCCUACACCACAGCCACAGCAACACGGGAUCCGAGCCACAUCUUCGACCUACACCCACAGCUCACGGCAAUGCCGGAUCCCUGACCUACUGAGUGAGGCCAGAGAUUGAACCUGAAUCAUCAUGGAUACUAGUAUGAUUUAUUUCCGCUGUGCCACAACAAGAACUUCUGCUUUCUUUCUUUCUUUCUUCCUCCCUUCCUCCCUCCCUUCCUCUGUCUCACUCCCUCUCUCUUUCUUAGGAAGAUCCUUUGUUAAUCAGACAUCCUAGAAGGAAAUUAAAAAGGAGUGAUCUUGUCAUUGCUAAUUUUGCCAAGUGUUAUGGGUUGGCUUGUGUCCUCCCCACCAUGCCCCACUUCACACCAAUUCACAUGUUGAGUCCUGAGCCCCAAUACCUGAGCAUGUGACUGUCUUUGAAGCCGGGGGCCCUUAAAGAGGUAAUUAAGGUAAAAGGAGGUCAGAAGGGUGGAACUGAAUCCAGUAUGACUGACAUCCUUAUAAGAAGAGGCGGUUUGGACUCAGACAUGCACAUCCAGAGCAGGGACCAUGUGAGGACACAGCAAAUCAGCAUGGCAAGGAGAGAGGCUUUAAAAGAAAUUAACCUUGCCAACACCUUGAUCUUGGACUUCUGGCCCCCAGAAUUGUAAGACAAUUCAUUUCUGAUGUUUAAGCCAUCUAGUCUGUGAGUGGCUUGUUUUUCUUAUCUCUUUGCUGUGUGUUUUUAGCUACCAUUUAUUUAUUUAUUUUAUGUAUUUGUUUUAAAUUUAUUAUCAUUACUUGCUUUUUUCAGGACUGCACCUGUGGCACACAGAAGUUUCCAGGCCAGGGGUCGAAUCUCAGCUGCAGCUGCUAGCCUGCGUCACAGAUACAGUAAUGCCAGAUCUGACCCGCAUCCACAACCUAUACCACAGCUCAUGGCAACUCCAGAUCCUUAACCCAGUGAGUGAGGCCAAGGAUUGAACCUGCAUCCUCAUGCAAACUACUCGUGUUCAUAAUCUGCUGAGCCCCCAAAGGAACUCCAUUUUUAGCUACCUUUUAAAUGUGCACAUAGAAUUAGGGAAUUUUGGUUUCAUAGUUAUUUUGGCAGAGGUAGGCUGGGAGAGAUGUGAGAAUGUAUUUCAGUCACAUUUUAUUAAUGUGAAUUCAUUUUAAUAUGCUUAAUAAAAUUCUGAAUCAUAUAUGGCCUAUAGUAUAAUUUAAACCUAAAAUAAUAUUUAUGUAUUUUUUGCGAGGUUUUGAUUUCUUUGCAUGGCCUAACUUGGAUUUCGCUUUUUAAACUUAAAAUAACAGUGUAAGUUUUUUUUCUCCUAAACUUUGUUAAGUUGCUUAAAAUGUCCAGGCUCAACUUCAGAGUAAUUAAGGUAAAUAUGAGAUAGACAUAGAUGGAAUAAAUGCAGCUGUUGUAAAAAGAUGUUCCAACACCAUGUCAAAAAGUAUUUUUAGUGUGAACUGGAAAAAUGAUUUAAACUCAUUGUAUGUAUAUUAUUACUGCAAUUAUGCAUAGUUAUAUGUAAAGUUUGUAUAUUAUAAUUAUAUAGACAGCAUUGUUACAAUGAGAUUUUUUCUAAAGCCUACCAUAGGAAAAAGGACUGUGAGAAAUAUACUGAACAGUGAUAACUUUUAGGGAAUGGCAUUAUGACUGCUCCUUUCCCCAUAGUUUAUUCUCCUUUUUGCCUACAUUUCUUUCAUAUGCAUGUACUGCUUUUAUGAUUAAAGAAAAUUAUUUCGCCAGUGUGAAAAAUGCAUGUGAGUUCAUUAUACAUUAAUAAUUAAAUGAACUAACCACCACCAGGUGUAAACACCUGGCAUAGUACUCGGUCCAAACUAUGAGCUCAAGUUGAAUUCUCUUGGUCUACUCUAGGCCAGACCAGUUUCCAGGCAGACAACAGGACAUGGGUGUCCCAGAGAAAAAAUCAAAGAGUCCACAUGAUUUAGAAUUGUGGGUAGGAGGAGGAAGGAAAGGGAAUGCAGAUCUCAUAAUAAAUAGAAUUUCAUCUUUUUACUGAAUCAGUACUAUUUUAUGUUCCUGAGUGGUAGCCUUGCAUAUCGUUUAUUAAGAUGUUAUCAAUUAAAGAGAUUUGUGGAAUUGCCAAUAUUAUGGAUGCCUUCCCUCCAAGUACAAAAGGAUAUUCUCCUUCAGAAAGAUGGGUGGAAAAAUGAAAGCUAUGUUGCAAGUUUGAAACGUUUUGAUGAGAAGACAUUCUUUCGGCAUCGCAUAGACUUUAUAUAAAAUACUGUUUGGGGGUAUUAUUGAAAUAAGUAAGGACUGCUUCAUUGACCAGGCUGCCUUUGCAUUUGGACACAAGACACUGGGCGAGAGUAUGGAGGUGCCAUAAAAUUUCUGAGCAUAUCUGGUUGAUACCAGUAAAGAGACUGACCUGGGGCCAGCACUCCCAGAACUGUGCCUUUUUCUCUUGCUACUCUGUUUCCUGACCCUCUUCUUUCCCUGGGGGGGGGGAAAAAAUCCCUAAGCCACUUUUAGAACAGCUAAGGAAGUUGUGUAAUGAGGCAUAGGAAAUGCUUGCUGGUGAUUCUAAGAGAGGGCUUUUCAAUAUGCUCUAGCGAACUAGAGAAUUCAGAAAUUCUAGAUUUUUUUUUUUCUUGAAGGUGUCUAGAAACCUAGAACCUAACCAAACUAAAAAAUCAAACGCCAGCUGCAAUCUGCAAUCUUAUUCAUCCUCCCACAGAGAGACAAGUACCUUCAGUCAGGACAGGAAAGUUUCUGGUUUAUCAGUACUGUUUCUUACCUGAUACAACUCUAGCAUGUUCUUGAUAAAGUGGAGAUAAAAGCAGAGUGAAGAAGAAUCUCUGAAAGAUCUGCCCCAUGAAUCCUUUGUAUUCCUAGAUUCUGAGUCAAGUAGUUCUUUCUGAACUCAACAAGGUUCUUUAUUUUCUACUUUAAUGCGAGUUGACCUGAAACUUUAGGCCUGGGCCAAGUUACAAAUAUACCCUACCAGGAAUUGGCCCGGUUAACAAAUUCCAAACUGGAGUCCCAUUUUUAACUGAGAUCUAGCUCAACCUCACCAGCACAGUAGGGCUCGCUCUAACAAUAUGAGCUUUCAGGGCCUUGCUAUUUAAGAUUCUUUCUCUCAGACUAAAUAAGCAAAACUACUCCCAGACAUCCAUCACAAGUAUCACAAGAGUGACUUAACAUAUCAUGUAACUUAGAACGGGCUGGUUUGGUUCCUUCAGACUUCCUGACUUGAGUUAGCUGCAUCUGCUUGUGUUGGGAUUGUGUUUUGAAGACACUGUAUCAUUUGGCCAAGAAAAUGGAAAGCCGGAUGGCUUUGAAAGAAUAUUAAAUGGCAGAAGUCUCUUAGAAUGCUUAACUCUUUCUAGACAUUGUGCUUAUAUUUCCUAAAGAGUGUCCUCUUUCGCGUAAAAUGCUGCUCUUUUAUCCAAACCAGAGGUAAGAAAGAAGAUGAAUACUUUCAGGACAUUUUUUUAUAAAAAAGGAUGAUGAAAGCUUUUGGAAAAAUGAUUAAGUACAAUUUUGAAUAUCUUGUAUUCAGAGGAUAUUCAAAGGAUGUUUUUAAUCUUACUGACCCAUUCUCUUUUAUUAGAGAAGGCAUAAUAUUUACUGUUAGCUUUCAGAAAUGUGUUUCCUAUGCUGAAGGAAAGAUUUUCAAAACUAAAAUGAUAUAUCCUUUGCUCAUAAUAUGGUAACCUAAGUACACAUCAAGAGGAUGCAAAGAAUGCAUGUUGAUCUUUCCUGUCACUGGGAUUAAUAAUAUCAUGUAGAAAAAAUUCUUAGAAUGAUGCCUGGCCCCUUAUAACUGCACAAUAAUUUAAUUACUGUGAAGCUGCAGACUUAGAAAGUCAACCUCUCAUUUCACAUCUCCUCUUGACUAUGUCCCAGCCACCUCAAAUUUGACAUAUUCCAGGAUGAGUUAUUUCUUUCUUCCCUGUUGUAGUCUGGCUCCUCCCACCAACCUCCCUUAGUAAAUGACAUCCUACAUUUGUUCAAGCCAGAAAUCUUAUGAGUCACACCUGAUACCUCCCUCACGUCUCCACAUUCAUCCAUCACCAAGUCCUGUUCAUUAUAUAAAGACAUUUUACAUUUAUCUACUCACCUCUAUCUAUAUUGCUAAACCUCUAGCCUAGGCAUGUCAGCCUCUGCACUAUUGAUAUUUUGGGCCAGAAAAUGCUGUGGAGGGCUGUCCUGGACAUUGUGGGAUUGUUAGCUGUACCCCUAUUCUCCACUACUGGAUGCCAGUGGGACUCCCCAUUGUUGACAACCAAAAACGUCUCCGGACCCUGCCAGUGUUCCCCAGGGAGCAAAAAUCUCCCUCUGUUGAGAACCACUGAUCCAGUCCAAAUGGCUGUUAUCUCCUACUUCAACUCCUACAAAGCCUCCUUACUAGUGUCUCCCCAGUAAGGACAAGACCCCUCCCUUCACUCCCCUUUAAGCUUUUUUCGAGGGAGCUGUCAGAGAGGUCUUUACACCAUAUGAAUUUCAUCAGUUCACAGAGCAGCCUAAAGCCCCAACCUGCUUUUGCUUCACACUUAGAACAGAUGCUCCCAACCCAUGUCCAUCUUCACUGAGUCCUGGUCCUCUCUCCAACCUAAUCCCAUGCCUGUCCCUCCUUCUGCUCUGGCUACAGUGGAAUUCCUCCCCCAUAUACCAGACAUCUGCACUUACAGCCCCUGCCCACUGUGCUGCACCCUGACUUAAUUCUCAUCCAUGCAGGGGCCUGCUAUGACUUUCUAUCACAGGACCCCAGUAGUUUCCAUCAGUGCCUUCACCAUGAUUUUCAGCUCUGCAUUUUCAGUCUUUCGUUUGUUGUUUGGCUCAUCCUAGGCUAUACCUUUCCUGAAGGCAGGAGCAGGUCUGUUUUAUUCUUUACUCAAUACCAGCACCCAUCCCAGUGUCUGACACAUAAGAGGACAAUGAGGCAUAUUGGUGGAGUGAAUGAAUGAAUGCUGAAUGAAUGAAACAAAAGCAGUUUUGGUUGGAAGUUGCUGUCCCCAUUCUUAGCACUGGGGGGUGCUAAAUAAAUAAAUAACUUUAUCAUAGCAUUUAGGAGGUUUGGAUGUUCCUUUCCCAUGAUACCACUUAAACUGAGUGGCCCAACCAAUUGUUUUUCACAGUAUUAAGAUUAUUAAGUUGAAAGAGUUGUGCUAAUGAAAUGAAACAUUCCUGCAAAGUGCUUUCCACAGUAGCACCAGGCAAUUAGAAGUGCUCAUUAAGUGCUAAUUGUUAUUUUAAUCUUAACUUUUUAAAAAUUCGGUCUUUAUCAGCCUUCCCAUGAAAAUGGUUGGGAAAAUAGUUUAAAGUGAAGGACCAUUGCUCUAACCUAUAUUCCCCUUAAAUGACUAUACCCAUGACCUGGGCUUUUCACUAUUUGCAUUGAAACAUACUUUCUGACCCUUACCAAAAUGUGAUCACUUUGAAAUACAGAAUGGCUAAAAUGUGAAGAAUAAAGUACUCCAUAAAAAUGUUAGAAUGACUUCAUUUUAAAGUCAAUCAUUGGUUUUCUAAUUCCUAAAUAAAAAUGUCAUAUGAUGAGAGACUUAUCUGAAAAUUCAGCCUUGACUCCAUUUAAAAUUUAUUAAGGUUUUUGAAAGCCCUGUUGCUGAGUGAGGAUUUUAUGACACAUCUCACUAAAUUGGAAUAGCUACAGGUUGUGUAUCCCUUUGCCAACUCAGAAGCCAAGUCUUGGUAGUGUCAAAUGCUGACACAUUGCUCUGAUAUUUCUCAGCAAAAUAUUUUGAGUUACAUGGUAUUCACAGCCUUCACUUCAUCCAGAAUGCUGAAAUUCUACCAUCUAAGGGCAUUAAAAUCUCUUAGGUAGAGAGAGUAUGAGAAGAAAUAAAGAGUGUCUUGCAGCUAUCUUUUUGUCAUAUAUGGUGUAGUGAUGGAUAUUUUUCACACUGCAAAAGAGGAUGUAGGUACAGAAGUCGUAAUUUCACUGUUUUCUGCUGUCCCUUUAGAUAUUCAAAUUGCCCUGAUUUCUGCAUUUUGGGGUGACAUCUGUAAUUCUGUACCCAUUAGAUCACCAGAAUGAAAUGGAGUGGUUACUCUUAAGUCCCAGGAAAACGCAUUACCUCCUAAUCAAACUUUUACCCAAGGAGCCAUUAUAAAUGGAAGAAAAAUACCCCAAAGGAAAAUUCAUGGAGGAUAAGAAAGGACCCCAAUAAUAAAACUAUUUCAUGCAGGCAGUUCUAUUGUGCAGCCAAUGAAAAUAACUCAGGGACUAGUUUGGGAUUUCAUUUUUCUUUCAUGUCAGACUAGUUAGCUCAGCUGGUUACAAGUGUGGUCCCAGUGAGGCCAAGCUAUUAUCCAAGCUGGCUGCCUCUCUGGUGAAAGCUAACAACCAGCUUACCAGCCCCAGCUCCUGUUCACAGGGCAGCCUGGCCUAAGGACUCUAGAGGAAUAAUUUCCAGUUUGUAGAAUGCGAAACACAAUUCAAAGAGUUUUGGCCUGCAAUGAUAGGGUUUUCUUAUUUUUCAAGCUUGUAUAUGUAUAAAAUUGGCCUUUAGAAAAGCAUCGCAGGUGAAGGUAGGGGUUAGAUAGGAGAGAGGAUCACCGAGCUUAUCAGUAUCAUGCUUAUCAUCAUCUUCAUCUUAGUUAUCUUCUACUU